rnacentral:rRNA from 1 species
UGGGGAAUAUUGGACAAUGGGGGCAACCCUGAUCCAGCCAUGCCGCGUGAGUGAUGAAGGCCUUCGGGUUGUAAAGCUCUUUUGGCGGGGACGAUGAUGACGGUACCCGCAGAAUAAGCCCCGGCUAACUUCGUGCCAGCAGCCGCGGUAAGACGAAGGGGGCUAGCGUUGUUCGGAAUUACUGGGCGUAAAGCGCGUGUAGGCGGUUGCCAAAGUCGGGUGUGAAAGCCUUGAGCUCAACUCAAGAAUAGCAUUCGAUACUUGGUGGCUAGAGGACCGGAGAGGAUAGUGGAAUUCCCAGUGUAGUGGUGAAAUACGUAGAGAUUGGGAAGAACACCAGUGGCGAAGGCGGCUAUCUGGACGGUUACUGACGCUAAGACGCGAAAGCGUGGGGAGCAAACA